CGUAAAAAGUCACUUUAUCUAUUCGUGCCCAUCUCUGUUAUUAUCUCCUGUCUCUGCCUUUUGAUUUAGAGAACAUUAUUAAUUCUCAUUUCCUUGUUUCAGUAAUGCUUUCUUUUCAGUUUUAGACAAGUGGGUCACUCAUGCUAGUGCCUAUCAUGACUCACUGCUCUCAUUCCUAUCAUAUUAAUCCACUUUUCCAUCUUGGGUUGAAUUGAUUACUAGGCAUUCCAUAAUUUCUUUGCAAACUUCUUGUAUAACUACUGAAUUAUGAAUAAAAAAAGAAUUCAGAAAAGAAGCAUUUUGUCAAGAUGGUGAGGGCCUCUUAGGACUCUCAUCCUAUCUGACUCCACCAAAAUCUGUUGUCGUCAACUUGAAUCAGGGUUCUGCUGUCAACACUAUGGAUUUUCAUCCAUUACAACAAACUUUGCUUCUUGGUAUAAGCUCUCGCUACUGCCUAUACUUUUAUUUCUUUAAGCUAAGGUUUUGUUCUAUUAUCUGUUUUAUGUUCUAUCAAAUUUAGCUGGAACAAAUGUUGGUGAUAUCUCAAUCUGGGAAGUAGGUAGGAGGGAGAGGCUUGUUUCUUGAAGCUUCAACGUUUGGGAUGUUGGAGCCUGUUCAAUGGCCUUGCAGGUCACUUGAUGAUAGGCUUCAUUGGCAAAUGAUUAUACUACAUCUGUAAACCGUGUGAUGUGGAGUUCUAAUGGUGCCCUUUCUGGCGUUCAAAUUCAAAACAUAAUGUGCUGAGAUAUUACUAUCAUGGUGGUGAUGAUUUGCGGAACCACCUGGAGAUUGACACUCAAGCAGUAAGGUUAAUGAUCUUGCCUUUCCACAUUGAAACAGACAACUUUGCAUCAUAACUUGUGGAGAGGACAAAACUCUUAAGGUGUGGACUACGGAAUGCUGUCACUGGUAAUAAGCUGUACACUUUUGAAGGGCAUAAAGCACCAGUUUACUCUGUGUGCCCUGAUAAUAAGGAGAACAUCCAGGGGGCUCAUGCAUUAAUCAGAACAAGGUUUAUCAAAAAGUGUUAAGAGUUCAUCUAUCCAGCAGAUAUUGAUUAGAAAAUUAAGGCUUGGUUAGAUGAUCGCUUAAAUCAACUACUUAACUGUCGCACAUGGGGCCAAUGUUGCAAGACAAUGGCCUUCAGUGCUGGCGGGAAAAGGCUGUUCAUAUGUGAGACUAAUAAAGAAGGACGAUCAUACCUUUUGGAAUUGGAUGAACAUCAGGUGGCUAUCAAGCAUGUAUAUCAUGGUCUUUGGAAGAGGUCCGUGGGGGUUGUGCCGUUUGAUACAAUGAAGAUCCAGUUCCUGGCUAUCGGUGAUGCAUUCAAAAUAAAAUUUUGGGACAUGGACAAUAGUUACCUCUUGACAACUACUGCUGCAGAGGGUGGAUUACCAGUAAUGCCCAGGGAAGCCCUUUUCUAGAUGUGCUUGGCAGUAUUUUGAAGCUCUUAUAAUUUAACAGUCUUUACCCUGAAUAUCUUUUAGGCUGCUCCUUGCAUUCGAUUUAACAAGGAAGGGAUUGCUGUAUCAACAAGUGAGAAUGGAAUCAAAAUACUUGCAAAUGCUGAUGGUGUAUGGCUUCUACGUUGUAUUGAAAAUCAAGCUGUUGGUACCUCCAGAGUGGCUCCUGCAACUAUUGAAAAGUGAUCUUGCCUUUUUACAUCCCAGCAGACAACUAUGCAUCAUAACUUCUGGAGAGGACAAGACUAUUAAGGGGUGGGAUGCUGUCACUGGUAAAAAGCUGUGCAUGUUUGUAGGGCAUGAAGUACUUGUUUACUCCGUGUUCCCUCAUCAUAAGGAAAACAUUCAGUUCAUAUUUUCAGCAGAUAUCAAUGGGAAAAUUAAGGCUUGGUUAUAUGAUAAUUUGGGUUCAAGAAUAGACUGUGAUGCUCCAGGCCAAUCUUGCAUGACAAUGGCUUACAGUUCUGACAGGACAAGGCUAUUCUCAUGUGGGACUAGUGAAGGAGGGGAAUCAUACUUUGCUGAAUAGAAUGAAAGUGAGGGGGCUAUCAAGCGUGUAUAUAAUGGUCUUUGGAAGGGGUCUGUGGGGCUUGUGCAAUUUGAUACAAUGAAGAACCCGUACCUAGCUACCGGUGAUGAGUUUCAAAUAAAAUUUUGGGACAUGGACGAUGUUAACAUCUUUACAACUACUGCUUUAGAGGGUGGAUUACCGUCUUCUCCUUGCAUUCGAUUUAACAAGGAAGGGAUACUGCUCGCAGUAUCAACAAGAGAGAAUGGAAUCAAAAUACUUGCAAAUGCUGAUGGUCUACAGCUUUUGCGUUCUAUUGAAAAUUAUGCAGUUGAUACCUCCAGAUGAUAGAAGACUUGUAGUUCAUGGGCCUUUUAUUGAAAGGUAUGUUUGUUUGUAAAGUUCAUGAGGUUGAGGACUCAUUUUCAAGCUCUUAUUAGUUAGGAAAUUCUAGAAGUCAAGGACUUUGUUAUGCAAUAGAGAUUUUUAUUAUGUUGUGUUAAUUAUUUUCAUGGAAUUUGAGAGGAUGUGUCUGUUAAAUUCAUUAAAUUGAGUAC